AACCUGAUGGAGCAAUGCCGCGUGAGUGAAGAAGGUCUUCGGAUCGUAAAGCUCUGUUGUUAGAGAAGAACACGUGCUAGGUAACUACUAGCGCCUUGACGGUAUCUAACCAGAAAGUCACGGCUAACUACGUGCCAGCAGCCGCGGUAAUACGUAGGUGACAAGCGUUGUCCGGAUUUAUUGGGCGUAAAGGGAGCGCAGGCGGUCUGUUUAGUCUAAUGUGAAAGCCCACGGCUUAACCGUGGAACGGCAUUGGAAACUGACAGACUUGAAUGUAGAAGAGGAAAAUGGAAUUCCAAGUGUAGCGGUGGAAUGCGUAGAUAUUUGGAGGAACACCAGUGGCGAAGGCGAUUUUCUGGUCUAACAUUGACGCUGAGGCUCGAAAGCGUGGGGAGCGAACAGGAUUAGAUACCCUGGUAGUCCACGCCGUAAACGAUGAGUGCUAAGUGUUGGGGGCUUUCCGGCCCUCGGUGCUGGAGCUAACGUAUUAAGCACUCCGCCUGGGGAUUACGACCGCAAGGUUGAAACUCAAAAGAAUUGACGGGGACCCGCACAAGCGGUGGAGCAUGUGGUUUAAUUCGAAGCAACGCGAAGAACCUUACCAGCUCUUGACAUCUUCUGACAACUCUAGAGAUAGAGCGUUCCCUUCGGGGACAGAAUGACAGGUGGUGCAUGGUUGUCGUCAGCUCGUGUCGUGAGAUGUUGGGUUAAGUCCCGUAACGAGCGCAACCCUUGUUGUUAGUUGCCAGCAUUAAGUUGGGCACUUUAACGAGACUGCCGGUGAUAAACCGGAGGAAGGCGGGGAUGACGUCAAAUCAUCAUGCCCCUUAUGAGCUGGGCUACACACGUGCUACAAUGGAUGGUACAACGAGCAGCGAUCCCGCAAGGGCUAGCUAAUCUUUCAAAGCCAUUCUCAGUUCGGAUUGCACUCUGCAACUCGAGUGCAUGAAGUCGGAAUCGCUAGUAAUCGCGAAUCAGAAUGUCGCGGUGAAUCCGUUCCCGGGUCUUGUACACACCGCCCGUCACACCACGAGAGUUUGAAACACCCGAAGUCGGCCGGCCAACCCUAUGGGAGGCAGCCGUCGAAGGUGGGUUGAAUGAUUGGGGUGAAGUCGUAACAAGGUAGCCGUAUCGGAAGGUGCGGCUGGAUCACCUCCUUUCUAAGGA
rnacentral:rRNA from 1 species